AUGAUGUACUAGAAAAUUGCUUGAGCGCCACCUAGUGAGCAGAAGGGGGACAUGCUUCUUUUCUCUGACUUGCUCCUUCUCUGUGUCCAGGCUGCUCACACAGGCCUCAGGAUUGGCCAACAAGGGGACUGACUUCUAAGCAAUAUCUUCACUUCUAAAAUCAGAGAUUCCUGCACUGACAAGAUGGCUCAUCAGGGAGGCCAGAAGGUGCUCACAGGAAUAGCAGAGGAACAGCGUGGACCAGAGAAAACUACAGCCCUCAAGCCUGUGGUGACCUUCUCUUAAGGGAAGGGAGAUUUAUCUUCACAAUGAAUGAGUGGUAUUGAUUAACACAUUGCAGUGGGCAUUCUAAUUUCAGAAUCAAGACCAUGUAAGUGACUUAAAGUAACCCCUGGCAAAAAAAGAUGUGUUUUACCAGUUGACCCAUGAUUAAUGAGGACACUGAAUACAGACAGAGCGGGAGACAUUCCGUUGUCUUUCUCUUCCUCCUUGAAACAUAUUUGACCUCUGCUUCCCUGGCCCACAGCCACCCAUAUCAUUGGCAUACUUUUGAAGUCUUGGACCAGUGAACUUAGCAUGACCAUCCAGGGAACAUCCCUCCAAAAGUUAUCUGUUUCUAGCUUGAAAAUGUCCCACGAUAACCCGCUUCCUUUGGGGAACAUGCAUACUUAAAGUGAAAGCUACAUUUAAUCAAUAUUCAUUCUCACUCUGUGCAUGCAAGGCCACAUAAAAUAUCUCUGUGUUCAAUUGGUCAAGACUUUCCACAUAGUUCAAAUUGUAUACAGUCUCUCUUA